UACGGGGGGGGCAAGCGUUGUUCGGAAUUACUGGGCGUAAAGGGCUCGUAGGCGGCCAACUAAGUCAUACGUGAAAUCCCUCGGCUUAACCGGGGAACUGCGUCUGAUACUGGAUGGCUUGAGUGUGGGAGAGGGAUGCGGAAUUCCAGGUGUAGCGGUGAAAUGCGUAGAUAUCUGGAGGAACACCGGUGGCGAAGGCGGCAUCCUGGACCAUUACUGACGCUGAGUGAGCGAAAGCCAGGGGAGCAAACGGG
rnacentral:rRNA from 1 species